GCCAAGGUGGCAGAAAAUGCGUGUAAUUUAGGGUUAUAGAGGGAAAUAAUGGCU
rnacentral:tRNA from 1 species